GGGAUGGACAAACUAAGGUGGAGGAGGGUACAGCUAAUGGAAAUACAUGGGCACAGGCAUGUUGGCAGGGUGUGAAUGGUGCACGAGAGAUGCAGCUUGACUAGACAGACAGUAUGGGAAGGGAAGUGAUGGAAAACAAAACUGGGAAACCUCAAAUGCCAGGUUAAGGUACAAGGGAAGUACAAGACGUUUGACUAUGAAAAGUAAUAGUCCUGACAAAUACUUCAAGAAAAGUCACCAGGCAGUAAUGGGUAACAAAGACUAAGAGGGAACAGAUAAAACAGGCCACUCAUUAGGAGACUAUGGUAAUAAUCCAGAAAUGAGGGCCUGGUUUAGAGCAAGAGAGUUAACAGGCUUGAGAUUGGAUUUGGAGAGCAAAGGAGAGGAGAAAGUCAACAUGACUCCAAAGUUCAGGGACUGGCUGGCAGCAAAGUCCAUCCGCCCAUUCACCACACGGUCCUAAUGCUCCUGCUAUGUGCCAGGCACUGCCCUCGGAGUAUUUAGUGCUGAAAACAACAGACUUAGGUCCUGCCUUAUGGAGCUUGUAAUCCAACCAGGAAUUCAGACCACAGACAAGGAAAAGAUAAAACAAAUAAGUACAAGUGAUGCUAAGUGCUGUGAGGAAGUUUACAGGGUGACAGGAGAGACAACAAGAGGAGGGACCUACUCAGAGAGGGUGGUAUGGGACAGACUCUCUGUACAGGUGACAUUACGCUAAACCCAGAAGGAUGAGGAGGAGCCAUGCAGAAUGUAGCUGAGCUGGGGAUGCACUCUAGCAAGAAGCGAUGUGACAAAGGCCCUGAGACCUGAAAGGGGCAAUGCUGGAAUGGAAAAUAGGAAUUGGAAAACGGGAGGUGGAUAUGGGACAUGUUGUAGCUGAGGGGCCAGUGGGCACCCAGAAGAAGAUACCAAGGCAGUUCUGGAAACACAGGACUUGAGCUCAGAAGAGAGGAUUGCCUGCAUGGAGGAGAUAAGGGAAGCAAUGCAUUUGGCAGGAUUGCCCAGGGGAGUGAUCUAAGAUACACAGACACAUAAGACAUAGAAGCUGAACCAAAAGAUCCCCGGGGUGUGCAGGGUCAGCCCCGGGAGUCCUCAGCCCCACACCACCCUCUCUGAGUAGGUCCCUCCUCUUGUUGUCUCUCCUGUCACCCUGUAAACUUCCUCACAGCACUUAGCAGCAGCCUGUGAACUGAGGAGCAGAAUUGUGAAUUGAGGUAGUGGAGGACAGAGAGCCUGACAACAGGAGUUCCUGUGGGGAUUUCAAGGCUGAAGAUGAUCAGAGAGGGGGCAACACCAAGGUAGGGAAUGAGAUCAGGUAGCAACAUUCAGUUCACCCCAAAUCAUAUCCAUUGCACAAGAGCAUGGGCAGCCUGGUGCCAGCAAGAGCCAAGGAUGGAGCCUUAGGAAACAAAAGGAGGGAGGGCCUGGGGACAGAUGCUCCCCAGGCUGAAGCGGAUACAGACGGCCCUGCUGGUGAAGAACACAAACCGGAAUUCCCUAUUUCAGCUGUUUUGUAUGAAAGCUAGUGCUGCCCAAGUCAAAAUGCAUGAUGUGUUCAGAGAAAAUGCUGACCUUCUGUUCUCCCACAAGUGAGCUGAGCAGGGAUAGAGAACGGAGUUGCUCUGGAGAAGUCUACAACAAAAUUAAUGGCUCAGAAAGGCUGAGUGUGAUGACAGCUGCUUUUCCUCAGUUUUCUUUCCUGGACUUGAGACACUUUCUUUUCCCGUAAGACUUGCUGGUUGUUGCUAAAGGGCAACACAACACAUGCAAACUUUUAAAUUUGCGAGAAUCAGAAACAGAAAUUCCUCUUUGGAACACUGCUGCAGAUGACGGCAAAGCCAAGAUGCUGUGGGACUCCCUGAAGAGGAGAUGUACCAAAACUCUGCGUCCUUAGAAGACAGCCCACUUCAUGCAGUGUUUUUGGGUAUCCACAGCAGCCUAACAAAAACGGCAGCCGAGGCCUUUCAGUUAAAGCCGCUGAUGCACAGCCCGUAAUUUCCAUAGUCCCUCUAGCUGUAGAAGCUUCUCUCUACACCAACAAUGCAGGUCAAGAAUCUGAACUUAAAUGACUGAUUUUGCCACGUUUUCUACUUUCACUUGGUAAUUCUUACAGAAACCGAAAAAAACAAUUUCACUAAGUGCUUCAUUUAUCUGUAUCUACACGUGGACUUAGGAGGGUCCUCUCAGUACAUAAAAUAUCUUUUUUUUUUUUGGUGAGGAAGAUUGUUGCUGAGCUAACAUCCAUGACAGUCUUCCUCCAUUUUGCACGUGGGUCAGUCGCCACCACAGCACGGCUUGAUGAGCAAUGUGUAGGUCCGUGCCUGGGAUCCAAACUCAUGAACCCUGGGCAACCAAAGUGGAGCACCUAAACUCAACCAUUACGCCACCGGGCAGCCCCAAAAUAUCUUAAAAUUAUAAUACCCUAUUUUAAGCUGAUAACAACUUAACUUCAACAGAAUUCCUAAACUUCACAUUUUUACUUCUCCCUCUCACAUUUUAGGUUAUUAUUGUUACAAUUUACAUAUUUUUAAUAUUGUGUAACUAAUAACACAUUAUUGUAGUUACAGCUACUUUUACUACAUUCCUUUUUUUUUUUACUUUUAAACUACAGUUCUAAUGAAUUAUGCACCGCUUCCAUAUAAGAGAAUCUAACUUGGCUGUAUACUUACCAUCACCAAUAAGAUUUACGUACCUUUUUACGUUUUUAUGAUGUUACUGAAAGUUUGGUCUCUGAUCCCGAUGCCAAUCCAAGUAAAGAGAACUGAGUCUUGGGAGAAAAAGGAAAGGCUUUACUUUGCCAGGCAGAGGGAGCAAAGCAAGGGCCAGUGCCCCAAAAGUUGCUGGCUCUCUAUUAAGAAAUGGGUAAGGGUUUUCAUUUGGGGUUUUCGGUAGGGGAGGGGGCCGUGGUCUUCUUGGUCAGCGUUUUCCCAUGGGCCUGUGUCUGGGCUGCUUCCAGGGAGACAGGAUUUUUCAGCUGAGUGUCCUUGGCUGUUUAUCUCCAUGGUAGAAGGCAGACUCUGAGGUCAGGACGCCGAGGAGUGGGCCUGGGAAGCUUUGGUCUCUUGAUAUUCUUUGCACAUUAGUUUCUCUCUAAGAGAACUUCCAGGUCCUGGGAUUAGACACAACUUUGGUGGGAGCCCAGGGUGAGGCCACGUGGGCUUGAACAAUUUCUAACUUGUUUGGCCCUAUAGCUCAGGGAGUCAGAGGCUAAAAAAACAAGCAUUUACAUAUGAGCAUAAUCUAAGACCCAGGGACCUGGGAAUGUGUGUGUUUGGUUUUAACCCACAUGUGCCAGGUUCACCGUAGGGGAACUGAUAUCAGGGCUGAUAUCGACUGAGAACUGGGAACAAUGUCACCCGUUGUGGCCAGGGGAAGCUCAAGGUCAGCGGGCGGCUCCCCUCGCUCCAACAGGGUCUGCCCCUUCUGGGACUCUUAGCAGCAUCUCCUGUGAACAGCUGUCAGCUGUCCUCCUCCCAGGGCACAAAUCAGGAAGACUCCCAUCUAGCCAUCCGAAAGCCACUGUGUCAGUGGCGCCCACCCCAGAGCAACAUGUGCCAGGCCCAUAUUUCUCAGAAAUCUGUCGCUGGCUCAGCUCUGUCCUCUCAGCCCGGAGGACGGGAGUGGACACCACAGGCCCAGACUUCCAAGUCUGUCAGGGGCUCAGCGCCGUCCUCUCAGCCGGAGGACGGGAGUGGACACCACAGGCCCAGACUUCCAAGUCUGUCAGGGGCUCAGCGCCGUCCUCUCGGCCCGGAGGACAGGAGUGGACACCACAGGCCCGAACUUCCAAGUCUGUCAGGGGCUCAGGGGCCAUCCUCUCAGCCCGGAGGACGGGAGUGGACACCACAGGCCCGAACUUCCAAGUGUGUCGCGGCUCAGUGCCGUCCUCUCAGCCCGGAGGACGGGAGUGGACACCACAGGCCCGAACUUCCAAGUCUGUCAGGGGCUCAGGGGCCAUCCACUCAGCCCGGAGGACGGAGCGCGGCCGCCCUUCCUCCCACGCCUCCUCAGGCCCCCGCCUACUGGGCAAGCCGACCCCGCGCAGUUCACCAGUUCAACGACCGCCAGGCUUCUCGGCCUCUGACCGAUGGGCCGUGGGAUCUACUAACGGGAACUGCUGCAAGAGAAACUGAGGCACGCCGAACGCUCUUCUGUUUGUUUGAGUAAAAACGACCCCAUCCGGCAGUGUCACGCGGAGACGCUGGGAUCACCGGCCAACAGGGGCUGGACACAGACUUCUGCCGAGAAGAGGCGACAUGAGGGAAGGAGGCGCGGGCGGCGCUGCCUCUGAGGCCGGGCUGGCUGUCGGCAGGCCGUCCUCGGUUCCCCGCGUUAACCCUGAGGCGCCCGCGGGCCAUCGGCACGGCAGCCACACUCGGAGGGCGCCCGGGAGCUGACGUAAGCACGUAACGCGGACGCGCCAGGCCGCGCUCCCUCGAAGGCCGGCAGGCCGCUGGAAGGUCGAGCGCCCCGCUCUCUAGCCCGCCCCAACUGGGGCCCGGGGGCCGGGCGCGCCUGCACACGGAGGGACAGCGGCUCUCGGACGGGACGGCGGCGCCUACUCACCGUGCCCAGCGCGCCAACCCAACAGGACCAAGUGCCCCCGCGGCGCUGGGGCCUGGCGGCGCCAGGCCGGGCCCCCGAGGCCGGCCUCGUGGAGGGGCGAGGAGCGGGGGCGCUGCCUCGGGAGCUCGCCCGGACGGCCCAGGGCCCGCCGCCCCAGGGGCUCGACUCCAGGCCCGCUGGAGGGCCUCGCCGCGGUGGACUCCGGGCGGGCUGCACCCAGGUGGGGCACAGCAGGACCUGGACCGGAAGCUGGGGCGCGAGGACGGGAGGCGGCCGCUCCGGGAAGGCCGCUAUCCUGAGGCGGCCAAGUGACCGGACGUGGGCCUCGUGCAGGGGUCAGUCGGAGCCUCCCUGGCACAGCAGAGGCCUCGAGGUGUGGGCAGGCGGCGGCUCACCGGAAGCUGGGCCAGAAGCUCCCUCCACAUGCCGCCGGAAUCCCAGCGGCCAAAGGGUGGGGGGCAUGGGAGGUGAUGACUGCUGGCUCUUAAAACUUCCCCACCCCGCCCCCCCACCCCCGCGCCGGAAGUGACGCACGUUACUCUGCUCGCCCCUCAUUGGCCAAGGGAAAUCAUGUGGCCACACCUUCCUUCAAAAGGGCAGCGCGGGCCGCCCAGCGCUCCUGGACCGGGUGGUGGUGAGGGCACCAGCGUCUGCCCACGUGCCUGCCCUGCCUGUUCAGCCUGGUGGGAAUCCCCGUCCAGGAGUGCAAGCCGGUGGGAACCAACUGCCUGCUCGAUUUACUUCAUCCUUGAAGUGCUGCCCGAUGGUAAAAGAUGGUGUGUAGCUACUGAAGACCCUGAGAAGCCACGUGACACAGGAAUUGUUCAUCUUGGUUGGCUCAGUGCUUCUAGAACUUAUUUGAUGAAAGAAUAUUACUUUUCUUCCUAGAAGUUUUUCAGAGACACAAUUGGGGAAGCAGUUCUGUCUCUCUGUCUAUACACACACGAGAUAAGCAGGCACCUAUAACACGCUGUUUGUAUAUGAGCAGAAGUACACAGAAGGACGGUUCCAUAUCACACGCAUGCAUGUACAUGGCCAGCAGUGCCGUCACUCGGCCCUGGGGACAGUGAGUGGAGCCAACCGAGUGCCCGCCCAGUGCAACCUGCAUCCGCUGGCCAAAGGGAGAGGCCGCGGCAGGUGCAGCGGGCAGCGUCCAGGGUUGGCUCGGCACCCCUGUUCCGGGACUGCUUCCCCUCGCUGGUGCACCGCCCAAUAGUUGCAGCAGGAAAUGCCGUGUCUCUGUGCUCUGGAGCCCCUGCCCACAUGACUACGAAGCCUGGCCAAUGAGUUUCUUCCCCAGGAGCUUUGGAUCCACAAUGGAAAGCCCUGAGGGUAAAGUGUAAGUGUGGUACAGAGAGAGAAGCUGAGACAGAGAUGCAGGAGCGAGGCAUUCCCGAGGAGCCCGUCGGAGUCUCCUCCUGAGGCCCAGCUGCAUCCUCGACUUGGAGCCCAUGAGCUCUCCUCCAACCACCAAUAAGUCUUCUCCCUCUGUCCUGCUCCUUCGCUGGUUUUGGCUCCUACUCCUUGCAAACUGACUAAUACUCCAGGGCAGGAGGAACGUACUGGAUGAGUCAGAGACGGCAGGGAGCAAAGACUGGAACUCACAGCCCACUCACUCCUCACCUUCCAUCUCCCAGGCUCUCUGUUUCAUCCCUCUGUAUUUUCAGUUGAAAGAAGGUAUAGUUUUCAUGGAAGGAACAGAAACUGAUUCUGCAGCAUGAGAUGCUGAGGAAUCUUGCAUUUAGAUUUCAUCAGUCUAUCAAAAUUUGAUUACUUUUAAUAAAUGCUUUCAAAUUGUCCCAUUUUUUCUAUAAGUGCUUUGAGCUGCUCAUAUAUUAUAUCACACUUUGCUUCUCAAAGUUCUCUCCUUUUAAGACCUCUUGAGCUUUUCUCGGAGGGAAGUAUUUCAGGCGGCUUAUUCCUUUCCAGUAGAAACAUUAUGUGCCCUGUUAAAGCUCGUUGCCAUUGUGGUUGCUUGUCGGUUGGCAGGGGAGUAUCACAAAGUAAUAAACAAGGCAGCUUUAUUGUAACCAUUCAUGUUAAAUUAACUUUAAGCAAAAGAAUCACUUUCCUAGAAAUGAGGCCAAUGCAAAAGAGCUGAACAAGCAAAUAAAAUUAGAGGGAUACAGUUAGGGAAGGAUUCAAACCUGCAGGCAAUCAAAGAAAUGCAUGCUAAAACAGGACGUCUUCUUCUAUCCACAAAGUUGUGUAUACACAUAGACACACACACACACACACACACACACACACAUAGGUGUGUGUGUAUCCUUUUCAGGAAUAACUUGGGAGUAUACGCACCAAAUGCUAUAUAAAUGAACGUGCCCUUUGAUCCUCAGUUCAACUUCUGAGAAUAAGAAAAAAAUACUAAAUAUGAGAAAGUUACAUCCUUAAAUAUGCUAAAUACUAUUAUUUGUAACAGUAAAAUAUGAAACCAAGAAACUAAUGUCCAGCUACAGGGGAAUAAAGAGGUAAGUUAUAGCAUAUCUCCUUGAUCGGUUGUUAUACAGUAACUAAAGUGAUGGUUGUGGAGACUGCAGACAACUGAAAAUUACCAAUAAUGUUAUAUUAAAGAGCAGGCCCGACAUUGCAUGUGUGGGAUAUUUACAACUAUAAAAAAGAAAUAUAUGAAUAAAAGUCUUAAGGAAAUUUUCCAAAUUGCUUACAGUGAAUUGAAUGGCAGUGUAAUUACUUUUCUGUAUUUUCUACAUGUGAUUGUAUGACUUUUCUAAUUUUACAUUUUCUAAAUGCAGCCAGUCUAGAGAAUUAAAAUAGUUCACGUUUAUACUCAAAGAAACCAACAUUUGAUAUUAAUUUAUAGCAACUAGAUUUAAACAGUCAGGAGGAUCUUUUUAAAAUUGUCUGUUUGAAAAUAAAAUUAAAUCACUGAGCUAUAUCUGAGGGGAUAAGUCUCAGGGAAAGCAUUACAGUGGGGAACAUUAUAGCGGAGUCCAGGGUGUUUUAGAAGCUGUGCCUGGAGAAAAUGUUUUUAAAUGUUCACCAGAGCAGUUCCUAGGUGUGAUAACGUGCUAUUCAGCAUGGACAUGACAACUAGAUUAUUUCCUUUUGGCAGAUUUUCUUCUGAGAGAAAGCAAACACACUACUAAGUGUUAUAAAUCUUAAACAUCUACUCUUUUACAUACUGUUACUUUUUAAUCAGACAUUUCAUGUGCAACUCCCCCACGUAUAACAAAGUCCAUCAGAAGGCCACUUUGAAGGAAGUGUUCCUGUUCCUAUUGCUAUUUUUACGACUCUACCUUGUAAUUAAAAUUAACAUUCUGAAGACAGACUUUGCCCCACCGCCACUGUGAAACCUUCCUCCAGGAUGUCACUGCUUACCUCCCUUGCCAAAUGCUGUGAAUGGUUCUUGUUUUAUCAACUUAAAAAGCAAAUCUGCCUGAUAUUUUAUCUCAAAAUGAGUUUUUCAGGAAUAGCCAAAAGAACGACAAUCCAGGAGGCGCAUGCUACCAGAACCAUAGGCAAAUCCAGAGAACACAGGACAGAGCUGCUCUUAUAGAGAAAACGGGGAGAGGGCGGGGCUGUUCUAAAGGAAGCUCCAUUGGAGGAGAGUAACAGAUCAGGGCAGCAUCGGCUUCUCAUUGGCUGAGCUGCAGCGUUUCUCAUUGGCUGAGCUGCGGCAUUUCUCAUUGGCUGAGCUACGGCAUUUCUCAUUAGCUGAGCUGCGGCAUUUCUCAUUAGCUGAGCUGCGGCAUUUCUCAUUGGCUGAGCUGCAGUUUCUCAUUAGCUGAGCUGUGGCAUUUCUCAUUAGCUGAGCUGUGGCAUUUCUCAUUGGCUGAGCUGCAGUUUCUCAUUAGCUGAGCUGUGGCAUUUCUCAUUAGCUGAGCUGUGGCAUUUCUCAUUGGCUGAGCUGCGGCAUUUCUCAUUGGCUGAGCUGCAGUUUCUCAUUAGCUGAGCUGCAGCAUUUCUCAUUAGCUGAGCUGUGGCAUUUCUCACUGGCUGAGCUGCAGCGUUUCUCAUUGGCUGAGCUGCAGUUUCUCAUUAGCUGAGCUGUGGCAUUUCUCAUUGGCUGAGCUGCAGUUUCUCAUUGGCUGAGCUGUAGCAUUUCUCAUUGGCUGAGCUGCAGCAUUUCUCAUUGGCUGAGCUGUGGCAUUUCUCAUUGGCUGAGCUGCGGCGUUUCUCAUUGGCUGAGCUGCGGCAUUUCUCAUUGGCUGAGCUGCAGUUUCUCAUUAGCUGAGCUGCAGUUUCUCAUUAGCUGAGCUGCAGCAUUUCUCAUUAGCUGAGCUGUGGCAUUUCUCACUGGCUGAGCUGCAGCGUUUCUCAUUGGCUGAGCUGCAGUUUCUCAUUAGCUGAGCUGUGGCAUUUCUCAUUGGCUGAGCUGCAGUUUCUCAUUGGCUGAGCUGUAGCAUUUCUCAUUGGCUGAGCUGCAGCAUUUCUCAUUGGCUGAGCUCUGCAGUUUCUCAUUAGCUGAGCUGUGGCAUUUCUCAUUGGCUGAGCUGCUGCUGGGUGGGGAGAGAAAUCUUCCUUCAGUAAUAAAGCAGUUGCGCUUCCUGUCUGAGAUGCAAGCAAUGAUGGGGCAUGAGAGCUCCCCCUACAGGCCUUCCCGACUCCCGUGUAAUUAGGUUUCUUUUCUUAAUUUCCAUUUUUCACCCCAUUAGCACUUGGCAUCAUUAAUGGUUUUGAGUCGUUGCCGUAUUCCAGGCGCUGUUCUUAGCGCUUUUCAGCAUAAUCUCACUUAGUCCUCACAACAACCGUUAAGAGCAGAUACUUGGCAUAGCCCCAAUUUCAGACGGGGAAACUGAGCACCCGAAGGUUAAGUUGCCCAGAAUAACCCAGCUUGUUCAAUUGCAGAAUCUGAAUUUGAACUCAGCCAAUCCUACUGGAAAGUCCGUGCUCUUCUUCCUCAAAGUCAUCGUCUCCAGGCCGCCGAGCUGCCUAGAGUGGCCUCCAGCCACCUCACUCCCUGUGGGUCCUGUGCGACUUUCUCACUGCUUCCUCCCAUUGGCCCCAACUGACACAUAAGUCCAGGACCCAGGCCCCUCUGCCCAGAGGUUCUUCUCCUGGACUUAAAGAUCGUUUUCAUGACGAUGGGGCUCAGCCUGUAUCUGGGAGAGUCCAUAUAAGAUACUUGCUCCAUGUUUAACGAAUGGUAUUAUUAUUAUUUUAUUAUGUGAGAACAGUGCCGUACACUCCUGGAAGUGCUUCAAUCCAUUUUUUCAUUUGAUCCUCGAACUCUGCAUGUUCAAGGUCAAGUUAAUUAUAUUUUCCCCCAACAACUUCCGGCCUCUGUCCUUUCAGGCAGCUGUCAUCCUUCUUAGCUCAAAAUCUGAGUCAUCUUUCACUCCUCUUUCUUCCUUAGUCUCCACAUUUGAUCUGCUGUGGUCCUGUAGGCCCUGCCCCAACAAACUUUUGAGCUUUCUUCCUCCCUCCAUUUCUCCUGCAGCUAAAGCACCACCCUGAGAUUACCGUUCUCUUUAC
rnacentral:lncRNA from 1 species